rnacentral:rRNA from 1 species
ACCUGCGGAAGGAUCAUUAAUGAAACUUCAAAGUCGGCCAAAGGUUGUUGCUGGUGAUUAUUCACAUGUGCACGCCUUUGGUCGCAAAUCCACACACACCUGUGCAUCUAUGACUCGAGGUUGUAAUGACUGAGAGUAACUUUUAUACACUCUUGUAUGUAAUGGAAUGUCUUUUUGUGCUAUAAUGUACAAUAUAAACAACUUUCAACAACGGAUCUCUUGGCUCUCGCAUCGAUGAAGAACGCAGCGAAAUGCGAUAAGUAAUGUGAAUUGCAGAAUUCAGUGAAUCAUCGAAUCUUUGAACGCACCUUGCACCCUUUGGUAUUCCGAAGGGUACGCCCGUUUGAGUGUCAUUGUAAUCUCACUUCUACAACUUUAUUGUUGUUUGAAUGUGGACUUGGAUGUUGCCGUUUUAUCACGGCUCGUCUUAAAUGCCUGAGUGUACCCUGUUUUGCAGCGUAUCCAGUGUAAUAAACAUUUCACUAGAGUUGGUCGAAAGACCGCGUUGACUAUAUGGGCUCUAUGCUUCAAACCGUCUGCCAUGUGGACAAUUUCUUGACAAUUUGACCUCAAAUCGGGUGGGACUACCCGCUGAACUUAAGCAUAUCAAUAAGCGGAGGAAAAGAAACUAACAAGGAUUCCCCUAGUAACGGCGAGUGAAGAGGGAAAAGCUCAAAUUUUAAAUCUGGUGUCUUUGACUCCCGAGUUGUAAUCUAGAGAAGUGUUUUCCGUGUCGGACCGUGUACAAGUUCCCUGGAACGGGGCGUCAUAGAGGGUGAGAAUCCCGUAUAUGCCACGGACUACCGAUGCUCUGUGAUACACUCUCAACGAGUCGAGUUGUUUGGGAAUGCAGCUCAAAAUGGGUGGUAAAUUCCAUCUAAAGCUAAAUAUUGGCGAGAGACCGAUAGCGAACAAGUACCGUGAGGGAAAGAUGAAAAGCACUUUGGAAAGAGAGUGAAACAGUACGUGAAAUUGUUGAAAGGGAAGCGUUUGAAGUCAGUCGCAUCUGUUGGGGUUCAGCCUGGCUUUUGCCUGGUGUAUUUCCUUUCCGAUGGGUCAGCAUCAGUUUUGACCGAGGGAAAAAGACAUUUGGAAUGUGGCUGUCUUCGGGCAGUGUUAUAGCCUUGUGUUGUAUGUCUCGGUUGGGACUGAGGAUUGCAGCGCGCC